CAGCCAAAUAUAGCAGUAUUUUAUUUACUAAUUUUGUAAAAUGAAUUAUAUGAGUUAUACUCCUUUUAGUGUUGUCGAAGCUACUUUGAAAAUAUAGCUUUGCAAACUACCAUUACUUAAGAAAAUUAACCACAGCAAAGCUACAAAGGGAGAAAUCUAGUUUGGUUAGCUAAAGCUAGCCUACUUAGAAAUUGACAAUGCACAUGUGAUAAGAAAGUAUAAAAAAAAUAGAACAAAAAAGUCACAUGGCAGAAAAAAAAGCCACUCAAUUGAGUUAAUUGCAAAAGGUGCAGUCAGACAGCUGCCUUCCAGAAACCUGGGUAGGCUACUGCACCAGGCACGAUGACUCAGUUAGUCAGGUGACAUUCCAGCUUCCUGGAGUAGGUUACCCCUUAAACUUAAACCUGUCCUAAACUAAAGUAUUGCCUGACCAAAACAUUGCCUGGGCUUCAUGCUUUCACAGCACUCAGGAUGAAAAGAUUUCCUUUGAGAUAAAGAGCCUCUUGUUCCCAGCAGGAACAGUGCUGACAUGAGAAAACAAUGACAGCCUCUCAGUCUCUGCAGCAGUCGGAGCUGUGCAGAGCUGGAAUGUCACCGGCAACAUUUGCUCAAGUGCUUGACUUCACAGUUUUUGGUAAACUUCACUUGAGUAUUUCCAUAAUAUGCAAUUUAAUACUUCUUCUCCACCACAUUCCAGAGGGAAAUAUUAAAUAUUGCACUUUUUUCUCCACUAUAUUUAUUUGA